rnacentral:rRNA from 1 species
GAACGGGUGAGUAAUGCAUCGGAACGUACCCUGGAGUGGGGGAUAACUAUCCGAAAGGAUAGCUAAUACCGCAUAUUCUAUGAGUAGGAAAGCGGGGGAUCUUCGGACCUCGCGCUCUGGGAGCGGCCGAUGUCAGAUUAGCUAGUUGGUGGGGUAAAGGCCUACCAAGGCUACGAUCUGUGGCGGGUCUGAGAGGAUGAUCCGCCACACUGGGACUGAGACACGGCCCAGACUCCUACGGGAGGCAGCAGUGGGGAAUUUUGGACAAUGGGGGCAACCCUGAUCCAGCCAUGCCGCGUGAGUGAAGAAGGCCUUCGGGUUGUAAAGCUCUUUCGGCCGGGAAGAAAUCGCCAUCUCUAAUAUAGGUGGUGGAUGACGGUACCGGAAUAAGAAGCACCGGCUAACUACGUGCCAGCAGCCGCGGUAAUACGUAGGGUGCGAGCGUUAAUCGGAAUUACUGGGCGUAAAGCGUGCGCAGGCGGUUUUUUAAGAUAGGCGUGAAAUCCCCGGGCUUAACCUGGGAACUGCGCUUAUGACUGGAAGACUAGAGUACGGCAGAGGGGGGUGGAAUUCCACGUGUAGCAGUGAAAUGCGUAGAGAUGUGGAGGAACACCGAUGGCGAAGGCAGCCCCCUGGGCCGAUACUGACGCUCAUGCACGAAAGCGUGGGGAGCAGACAGGAUUAGAUACCCUGGUAGUCCACGCCCCAAACGAUGUCAACUAGUUGUUGGGUAGGUAAAACCAUUUAGUAACGUAGCUAACGCGUGAAGUUGACCGCCUGGGGAGUACGGCCGCAAGGUUAAAACUCAAAG